rnacentral:lncRNA from 1 species
GGCUGUAGAAGGUCUGCUCCCCGUCAAGAUCCUCCAGAGAUAGAGUUGAUGAUCCCAAUUGGAGGCCGAUCUCUGGGCUGCUCUUUCCUCCUUGGUGGCUCAGGUUGUGACGAGGCCCUUGGCCGAUCCUCUCUACCCUCAGGCCAGCAUCGGAUGAACCUAUCGAGCCGACCUCGUCUGAUGAGCUCCUCGAUCUCAUCUCGGAGUUGAAUGCAUUCCUCUAUGUCGUGGCCGUGGUCACGAUGGUAGAGGCAGAACUUGUUGGGAUUGCGCUUCUCGGGGUGUGUGCGCAUCCUUUCUGGCCUUGAGAGCUACUCUCUGACCUCCAUCAGCACCUGAGUUUUCGACGCAUUGAGGGGGGCAUAGCAGCGGAAUCUUCCUAGGGGAGAGCCCUGCCGAAUCCUGCGGUCUGGACUUCUCUGCCUGCAUGCUCGGGGAGGAGUCUGGGCGUGCUUGUACUCGGAAGGAGUCCGAGAAUGUGGCCGGGCUUCAUUCGGACCUCUUUCAACUACGGGCUUAUCGGAGUCACCCGCCUGCCGCUCCUUCACGGCUUCCUCGUCCUUCAGCUUGAAGGCUUCCUCCGCUUGAGCAUAUCCUUCGGCCUGAGCCAGU